AAUAUUAAACACUGGACACUUUGCAGGCCUAAAUAUCCCUCAGUGCAAAGCGGUGGAGGACAACACUAAUAAUGGACAGCGACCAAGACAGCUCUAUGACAUCAGUAACACUUCCAUUUAAGUCAUUUGGGAACUUAAGUCAAAGAGUGACUGUGCACGGGGCAAGCCCAGACCCAGGCCUGCUGAACAACAUGCACCUCGCCUUCAGGGUUGGUUACAGCAGAUCUGCAUGACGUCACACUCAGCUGAGGACAAAGCCCACUGGUUUCUCCCAGACAGAGAGGUGGGGGGUGGCUGUCAGAGCAACGCAAGGACAAGCAAGAGAGGGAGAAAAAUGUCGACUUAUUGCAGAUGGAUUUGCUGCAGCAACGUGUCUGUGUGUGUGUAUGUGUGUCUGUGUGUAUGCAUGCAGAACUCCCCCAUUUACAUACAUGUGAGACAGCUGAUGGAAUCCCACAUGCACGUGUGCUGCAUGGGUGAUGCAGAGUGCAGUGACGAGUGUCGUGAUGUGAUCUUACCUGGACUGCCAGCGUCGGCCGCUGUUCCACACCCUACCAAACGAUGGAAGCCAGUUGGCAUCUGUAUGUGAGCUGUGAU